GACGAACGCUGGCGGCGUGCUUAACACAUGCAAGUCUACGAGAACGAGGUAGCAAUAUCUUUAGUAAAGUGGCGCACGGGUGUGUAACACGUAAGCAAUCUACCUUUGGGUCUGGAAUAACUUCGAGAAAUCGAGGCUAAUACCGGAUAAUGCAGCGGCACCGCAUGGUGAUGUUGUUAAAGUUUGAGUAAUGCCUAUAGAUGAGCUUGCGUCUGAUUAGCUAGUUGGUAGGGUAAAGGCCUACCAAGGCAACGAUCAGUAGCUGGUAUGAGAGGAUGAUCAGCCACACUGGAACUGAGACACGGUCCAGACUCCUACGGGAGGCAGCAGUGAGGAAUAUUGGGCAAUGCCCGCAAGGGUGACCCAGCAACGCCGCGUGGAGGAUGAAGGCCGUAAGGUUGUAAACUCCUGUUAGAGGAGAAGAAUAGUGCCGAUUGGAUCGGUAUUUGACUGUACCCUCAGAGAAAGCCCCGGCUAACUACGUGCCAGCAGCCGCAGUAACAC
rnacentral:rRNA from 1 species